rnacentral:rRNA from 2 species
UCCGUAGGUGAACCUGCGGAAGGAUCAUUAUCGAG